GCGAAGACCCGUGAGACCCGUAACCCAGAACCCCUCAGACCCGUGACCUGCUGAACCUGAGAGGAAAUCCGGUUCCCCAAGUGCGAUGUCCGGCGGUCCAGUGUGUGUUUUCCUGCGAUUCACCCCUGUGACCGAUCUCCCUGUUUUUGAUGGAUUUUUGUGAAAAUCCCCAAAGGAUCAUGUUCGGAUUGGAGACUUUAAUUGGUUCUCCAAUGUAGAGUCCAAGUGACUAGAGUCCAAGGAGUGUUCGAGUUGGAGUCUAAUGCAGCCAAGAUGAUGUUUCUUUGGCUGCAGGUACUUCGGUAUAGUCGAUGGGUCGGUAGCAGUGUGCUUGGGAUAUUAUGACUGAAGCUCACCGCGACGGUUGUAAUUGUCGGACCACGGGUUGUCCACUAUUUUAUAGGUUUGGUAUGGCUUGUGACGUUUGUGUCACUUAUUCUUUGUUAAGCCAUUAUUGUUAUAGUGUUAAUAAGACUCAAACAGAUAGAUGUUAAAUGGCUCUUUGUUGUAAUUAAUUUGUGAUAGAUGUAUAAGUUGUAAUUUCCGCUAUUCAGAUUUA